UCAAGUUAUUAUUCAAUUAAAAAAAAAUGAAUUUGGUCAGGUCUUAAUUGAAGCAGCCAUAAGUUUUAAUUUGAUGUGGAUAAUAACUUGAGUA
rnacentral:SRP_RNA from 1 species